AAAUGCCUGGACAGUAUCCAGGCGGGGCCAUUUUCAAGUCCAUCGGGAGACAGAAUUAGAUGGAGAUAGAACUUAGAGGUCUCAGUGUGGCGACAGCCAAGGAAGCUGUCAUUGCUCAGGAGAGGGUGAGAAGGAGGAGGUUUGGGAUCAGCUGGGGGGACUCCAGGUGUGGAGGAGGAGCCUGCAAAGGAGACAGAGGGAGAAGAAACCCCCAAAGCAUGACAUCACAGAAGCAAUCAGAAGGAGGAAGGAGGAAGGAGCCUGUCAGGCCGGGCACUCUGACGUGGGGUAAGAUAAGGAAAGGCUAUUGGACUCGGUGCAGAGGACCACUGUAGCCUUGGGGCUCAGGAGGAAAGAGAGGGUAAAUGCCCCAUGGGCGGGGUUGUGGGUGGUGGCGAGGAGGCCAGCUGAGGUGGGCUGGGGGACACAGGCAGCUGGAGCUGUGAAGGGCACCAGAAGUCCUCUGGGCUCCCUCCCACUGACCAGGUCUCCCCUCAAAUGUUGCCUUCUGCCCAAGACCAAGAUGGCUGCCAGCUGCAACACAGCUCCCUCCUAUGGCUGCCAGAUGGUUCCAGGCAUUUCCGCCGCACACCCAUUCCCUCCCCACAUGCAUCUGGCUGGGUGUCUCUGCAGCCUGGAAGGACGUGCCAGAGGUGGGAUAUGGUCUGUGGUGUUCCCUGCUGGCUCCCCAUUCCUAGAUCAGGGGCUGGCGCACUGCAGGUGCUCUCUAGCACCUGGCUGGAAGAACGGACACGUUCAGGUGGUGGACUGGUUCCACAGGAAGGAAAGGAAGGAGAACAUGGGAUCCCUGGGGAAAGGGGGGACUGCAGGAGCCGCCUCCUGACUGCUAGAAUCUUCUACGUGACAUGGAAGCACAUUCCCUCCCAAGGGCGCAAGGAGCUCACCCACUGUGACCCCAGCCCUCCUCACCUGUCAUUGUGGAUCAGCAGAGCCAGGCGCCCAUAGUCCCACGCAGCCUUCCGGAGGAAGGAAUAAACCACGAGGACGAGCUACAGGACCGGAAAAGCAAUAAGGGGACCCUUCCCCUGGGCAGUCCCCUGCAUUCCUAUCCCUGAAGUCCCCAGGAUGCUCCCCCACCAGAUGGAUGCCCAAGCAGAUGGGGCUUGCUGUCGAUCACCUCUAUCCUUUGCAAUUCUCUGAUCCAGUAUCUGGGCCUGAAGGAUGCAGUGUGCCCAACACAGAAGAGUGACUUGGGAAAGGUCCCUAUAUCUUACAAACAUGCCUGGGAACCGGGGCGAUCAGCACCUACCCGGGUCCACAGCCCAUCCAGAGAGGCUGGGCAUCUUGGUAAGACUCAAAUGCAGAGGGGUGGUCACAGGCAUCCGUACUUUCCAGCCAUGGAUAAGAGUGUGGAAAAGAGUGGGCGAAACCGGAGGCACCCGAUCAUUGCCUGAACCAAUCUGCAGGACUGCUCUGCACUGUCAGGAGCUUUUAUUUUGGCUCCAGGCCCCCCCUUCCCCUGGAGCCUCAUUAUUCCCAUUCAAGAGGAGAAGCCUCCUCAUUCCUUCCUUCAAAUACUUGAUGAGCAACUGCUUUGUGCCAGACCUGAGGCUGGUGAUACACAGUGAACCCAAGAGAUAAAAAGCCCUUCCUUGUAGGAGUCUAGUGGGGAGGAAUGGGCAGGGAGGGGUCAGUGAAGGCCUGGCUAGAGGGUGGUGGCACUUGACCGAGGUCUGGAGGACAGAAAGGGUGUGGGGAAGCCCAUAUCAGGCAGAGACGAAGGCCCUGGGUGAGAGCUGGCCCAGGGAGUUGAGGGAAGACAGACAGACCUGUGGAUGGACAGGGGAGACGGAUGGAGGUGGCGUUGAGCCGAGGAAUGGCAUGAAAGUAACCUAGGUUUUAAAGGGAUCACUUUGGCUGAGAACAGAGAGGGCAGGGAGGUCCCAACAGAGACACAGAGAGGGCAGUCAGGGUCCAGGCAGAAAACAGCAGCCUGGGCUGGGCUGGGGCAGCGGAGGUGGUGGGAAGGGUCAGAUACACGGAACCUGGAGCCUGAAGAUGUGCUGGAACACUGGAUGGAGAAUUUGAGGGAAUGAGAGGAAUCAAAGAUAUCUAAGGUUUCUAGCCGAAGCCUGGAAAAAUGGAGUUGCAGUCAUUGAUAGAAAAGACGAGAAUAGCAGGGC